rnacentral:rRNA from 1 species
UGAGACUGCGGACGGCUCAGUAAAUCAGUUAUAGUCUAUUCAGCGUGAAAAAAAGUGGAUAACUGUGGUAAAUCUAGAGCUAAUACGUGGAGUGCCUGAGGGUGCAUUGAUUAGCUAGCCGAUGGAGGGGUGAGUAAGAAUAACUGUGCAAAUCGCGGGGAAAUCCUGCGAGAGUGUGAUCGAAUUUCUGCUCUAUUAACUAGUUGGUGAGUUAGUGGCUCACCAAGGUUGUAAUGGAUAACGGGGAAUCAGGGUUCGAUUCCGGAGAGGGAGCCUGAGAAACGGCUACCACAUCUAAGGAAGGCAGCAGGCGCGCAAAUUACCCAAUCCAGACAUUGGGAGGUAGUGACGAGAAAUACCGGAGUAGGCCCAAGUGGUCAACUAUCGGAAUGAACGUAACAUAGUACCUUCGAUGAGUAUCUAUUGGAGGGCAAGUCUGGUGCCAGCAGCCGCGGUAAUUCCAGCUCCAAUAGUGUAUAUCAAAAUUGCUGCAGUUAAAAAGCUCGUAGUUGGAUUACAAGAGACGAGGCUUAAUUUUGUGGCCGUAAAGGUCAUGAAGUAGGACUUGUUUCUUUUAUCGUAAGAGCUGGUUGUGAAAUUAAGUUAUUGCGGCCAGUGACUUGCGGAGUGUGCCUUGAAUAAAGCAAAGUGCUCAAAGCAGGCGUGCGCUCGAAUGUAAUAGCAUGGUACGAAUAUUUGGCUAGAUUGGCUCUCAUUGGUUGCUGAUUUGGUCUAGAUUAAAAGGGACAUUUGAGGGCGUUGGUACUCGGUGGCGAGAGGUGAAAUUCUUAGACCCACCGAAGACUCACAAAUGCGAAAGCAUUCGCCAAGAGUGUUUUCAUUAAUCAAGAACGAAAGUUGGAGGCUCGAAGACGAUCAGAUACCGUCGUAGUUCCUACAGUAAACUAUGCUACCUUGAAAAUUAGCAUGUAAUCAUACAUGUUAGUCUCUCCGGGACACCAAGGUUUUCGAGCUCUGGGGGGAGUAUAGUCCGCAAGGCCAAAACUUA